rnacentral:lncRNA from 1 species
AUGGCAGAUGAGAUCGCCAAGGCUCAGGUCGCCCGGCCUGGCGGCGACACCAUCUUCAAUAAGAUCAAUCGCAAGGAAAUCCCAGCCAAAAUCAUUUAUGAGGAUGCCCAGUGUCUUGCUUUCCAUGACAUUUCCCCUCAAGCACCAACACAUUUUCUGGUGAUACCCAAGAAACAUACAUCCCAGAUUUCUGCAGCAGAUGAUGAUGAUGCAAGUCUUCUUGGGCAUUUGAUGAUUGUCGCCAAGAAAUGUGCUGCUGAUCUGGGCCUGAAGAAGGGCUAUCAAAAUGGUGGUGAAUGAAGGUUCAGAUGGGGGCCAGUCUGUCUUAUCAGGUUCUUCUCCAUGUUCUUGGAGGUCGGCAGAUGAACUGGCCUCCUGGUUAA